CCUACGGGGUGCUGCAGUGAGGAAUAUUGGUCAAUGGGCGCGAGCCUGAACCAGCCAAGUAGCGUGAAGGAUGACUGCCCUACGGGUUGUAAACUUCUUUUAUAUAGGAAUAAAGUGAGGCACGUGUGCCUUUUUGUAUGUACUUUAUGAAUACUGAUCGGCUAACUCCGUGCCAGCCGCCGCGGUAAUCCGGAGGAUCCGAGCGUUAUCCGGAUUUCUUGGGUUUAAAGGGAGCGUAGAUGGGUUGUUAAGUCAGUUGUGAAAGUUUGCGGCUCAACCGUAAAAUUGCAAGUGAUACUGGCAGUCUUGAGUACAGUAGAGGUAGGCGGAAUUCGUGGUGUAGCGGUGAAAUGCUUAGAUAUCACGAAGAACUCCGAUUGUGAAGGCAGCUUACUAAACUGCCACUGACAUUGAUGCUCGAAAGUGUGGGUAUCAAACAGGAUUAGAUACCCUAGUAGUC
rnacentral:rRNA from 1 species